rnacentral:rRNA from 1 species
GGCGAGCGAACGGGGAGGAGCCCAGAGCCUGAAUCAGCAUGUGUGUUAGUGGAAGCGUCUGGAAAGGCGCGCGAUACAGGGUGAGAGCCCCGUACACAAAAGCGCACGUGCUGUGAGCUCGAUGAGUAGGGCGGGACACGUGGUAUCCUGUCUGAAUAUGGGGGGACCAUCCUCCAAGGCUAAAUACUCCUGACUGACCGAUAGUGAACCAGUACCGUGAGGGAAAGGCGAAAAGAACCCCGGCGAGGGGAGUGAAACAGAACCUGAAACCGUGUACGUACAAGCAGUGGGAGCCCCACCACUAAGCCAGUGGUGAACUCCACAUACGCAUCCUUUGCUGAGGAUGCGGUUAACGGAGCGAAAGCGACGUUCAACCGCAAAAGAAGCAGAGGGGGCUUAGUGGUGGGGUGACUGCGUACCUUUUGUAUAAUGGGUCAGCGACUUAUAUUCUGUAGCAAGGUUAACCGCAUAGGGGAGC